UCUUAAAGACUGUUCUCAGUUCGGACUGCAGUCUGCAACUCGACUGCACGAAGCUGGAAUCGCUAGUAAUCGCGGAUCAGCACGCCGCGGUGAAUACGUUCCCGGGCCUUGUACACACCGCCCGUCACACCAUGGAAGUCUGCAAUGCCCGAAGCCAGUGGCCUAACCACUUAUGUGGAAGGAGCCGUCUAAGGCAGGGCAGAUGACUGGGGUGAAGUCGUAACAAGGUAAC
rnacentral:rRNA from 1 species